AUGCCUAACACAUGCAAGUCGAACGAUGCUUUCGGGCAUAGUGGCGCACGGGUGCGUAACGCGUGGGAAUCUGCCCCUUGGUUCGGAAUAACCGUUGGAAACGACGGCUAAUACCGGAUGACGACGUAAGUCCAAAGAUUUAUCGCCGAGGGAUGAGCCCGCGUAGGAUUAGCUAGUUGGUGUGGUAAAGGCGCACCAAGGCGACGAUCCUUAGCUGGUCUGAGAGGAUGAUCAGCCACACUGGGACUGAGACACGGCCCAGACUCCUACGGGAGGCAGCAGUGGGGAAUAUUGGACAAUGGGCGAAAGCCUGAUCCAGCAAUGCCGCGUGAGUGAUGAAGGCCUUAGGGUUGUAAAGCUCUUUUACCCGGGAUGAUAAUGACAGUACCGGGAGAAUAGGCUCCGGCUAACUCCGUGCCAGCAGCCGCGGUAAUACGGAGGGAGCUAGCGUUGUUCGGAAUUACUGGGCGUAAAGCGCACGUAGGCGGCUUUGUAAGUUAGAGGUGAAAGCCUGGAGCUCAACUCCAGAAUUGCCUUUAAGACUGCAUCGCUUGAAUCCAGGAGAGGUGAGUGGAAUUCCGAGUGUAGAGGUGAAAUUCGUAGAUAUUCGGAAGAACACCAGUGGCGAAAGCGGCUCACUGGACUGGUAUUGACGCUGAGUGCGAAAGCGUGGGGAGCAAACAGNAUUAGAUACCCUGGUAGUCCACGCCGUAANCGAUGAUANCUAGCUGUCCGGGGACUUGGUCUUUGGGUGGCGCAGCUAACGCAUUAAGUUAUCCGCCUGGGGAGUACGGCCGCAAGGUUAAAACUCAAAUGAAUUGACGGGGGCCUGCACAAGCGGUGGAGCAUGUGGUUUAAUUCGAAGCAACGCGCAGAACCUUACCAGCGUUUGACAUGUCCGGACGAUUUCGGGAGACCGAUCUCUUCCCUUCGGGGACUGGAACACAGGUGCUGCAUGGCUGUCGUCAGCUCGUGUCGUGAGAUGUUGGGUUAAGUCCCGCAACGAGCGCAACCCUCGCCUUUAGUUACCAUCAUUUAGUUGGGGACUCUAAAGGAACCGCCGGUGAUAAGCCGGAGGAAGGUGGGGAUGACGUCAAGUCCUCAUGGCCCUUACGCGCUGGGCUACACACGUGCUACAAUGGCGGUGACAGUGGGCAGCAAUCCUGCAAGGGUGAGCUAAUCUCCAAAAGCCGUCUCAGUUCGGAUUGCACUCUGCAACUCGAGUGCAUGAAGGCGGAAUCGCUAGUAAUCGCGGAUCAGCAUGCCGCGGUGAAUACGUUCCCAGGCCUUGUACACACCGCCCGUCACACCAUGGGAGUUGGGUUCACCCGAAGGCGUUGCGCUAACUCAGCAAUGAGAGGCAGGCGACCACGGUGGGCUUAGCGACUGGGGUGAAGUCGUAACAAGGUAUC
rnacentral:rRNA from 1 species